UCCCUGGAGGACUAGUGGUUAGACCACGGCGCUCUCACCGCUGCGGCCCUGGCUCGAUUCCCGGCCAGGUAC